rnacentral:rRNA from 1 species
UACGUAGGUGGCAAGCGUUAUCCGGAAUUAUUGGGCUGGUAAAGCGCGCGCAGGCGGUUUCUUAAGUCUGAUGUGAAAGACCCACGGCUCAACCGUGGAGGGUCAUUGGAAACUGGGGAAACUUGAGUGCAGAAGAGAAAAGCGGAAUUCCACGUGUAGCGGUGAAAUGCGUAGAUAAUCAGGAGGAACACCGAGUGGCGAAGGCAGGGUCUCUGGGGCCACUAGCUGACGCUGAGAAGCGAAAGCAUGGGGAGCGAAACAGG